rnacentral:rRNA from 1 species
AUGGAUACUCCAAGUGUGCCGCGCACCAAACACCAGCCAGCCGACUCGCAUCCCUACUUUGUCACCUUGGAUAUCGCCAGUCCCUCCUCCUUGUUCGGAAGCUCAUGCGGUGGCAUCGACCUGCGGUGGGUGCGCUCCGUGGCCGCCGGAGGCAUCUUCUCUUUCUUCCUCCUCGCGGCAUACCUGAUCGCAUUCCCCUCGACCACAAUAUUCCAUCACCCGCACCGAUCCUCUGCAACCCAGCGCCUGUCGCCGGCCAGUCCGCCGCGCUUCGCCUACCUCGUCUCUGAUCUGAUGGACGUGUUCUCACACCUGCCGCGCGACCUCAACUUCAUCGACCACACGAGCGACAUGGCGUCUGCGAGGGCGAUGGUUGACCCGGGGCUCUACAUGAACGAGACAGAGAAGCGGGAGUUGCGGCAGCUGCCCACCACAAUCUUCUCAGGUUCUGCCUGGACCGUGUUGUCACGGCCGUUCGUUGACUACUUGAUCCGGGGGUGGAAAAACCUCCCGCGCAACCUCCUCGUCUCCUCCCCGGAGGCCUACUUCCACACCAUGGCCUGCAACACCGAGGAGUUCCGGAACACCACCGACAACCCGGUGCUCGACCGAAUCGACGCAGAGCUCCUGUCACGGCAGCCCGGGAUGCUCGCCCCCGGCAGCUGGAGCAUCGGGGAUACCGGCGGCGAUGGCUCCUUCUGGAUCGUGAGGGACGCGACGCCCCUACGUCCUGGCCCUGGAGCUGCGCGGCUGCAGCGGCUCGUCACAUCGCUCCUGUCCGAUGACAACUUCCGGCCUAAACAGUGCAAGAUAGUCAAUCACAGCGCCUGA